GCCAGUGUGCUGUAGUGGUUUAAGCACUGGACUAUAAUUCUGGAAACCAGAGUUCAAAUCCUGGUUUGGCU